CUGCUCUCCUCUCUUCCCCUCCCCCUCCCAUGAAACCCUAGCCGUCGCGCCCGCACACCCCCUGCCGCCGCGCCGCUGCCGCCGUCGCUGGCGCUCGCCACGGCCCCCAUCCUCCACCUGACGCCGCCCAUCGUCUCCUCCCCACCCCCUCACACCUUCCUUCUCCUCCUCCCCAUCGGGGCUAAGCAGGAGAACGAGCACCCUCCCUCGCAACUGAGUCGACGGGAGAAUAGCUCGAGCCCCGGGGUUUGGGCGUGUUAGUGAGCGCGGCGGCGGCGGAGAGCAGCAGCAACAGGCGGCGCAGCUGCAGGCCUUGGGCAAGAUUCCUCCGACCCAAGCAGGCCUUGGGCAAGAUUCCAUCGACGGGGGAGCAGCGGGGAGAGGAACGUGAGGCCAUGGGGGAGGAAGAAGAUGGCCCCCCUCGUUCCCAAGGUUGGUCUUCGCGUGACGCUGGUUAAG
rnacentral:rRNA from 1 species